rnacentral:rRNA from 1 species
UGAUCCAGCCAUCCCGCGUGAAGGACGACGGCCCUAUGGGUUGUAAACUUCUUUUGUAUAGGGAUAAACCUUUCCACGUGUGGAAAGCUGAAGGUACUAUACGAAUAAGCACCGGCUAACUCCGUGCCAGCAGCCGCGGUAAUACGGAGGGUGCAAGCGUUAUCCGGAUUUAUUGGGUUUAAAGGGUCCGUAGGCUGAUCUGUAAGUCAGUGGUGAAAUCUCACAGCUCAACUGUGAAACUGCCAUUGAUACUGCAAGUCUUGAGUGUUGUUGAAGUAGCUGGAAUAAGUAGUGUAGCGGUGAAAUGCAUAGAUAUUACUUAGAACAUCAAUUGCGAAGGCAGGUUACUAAGCAACAACUGACGCUGAUGGACGAAAGCGUGGGGAGCGAACAGGAAUAGAUACCCUGGUAGUCCACGCCGUAAACGAUGCUAACUCGUUUUUGGGUCUUCGGAUUCCCAGACUAAACGAAAGUGAUAGGUUCGCCACCUGGGGAGUACGUUCGCAAAAAUGAACACUCGGAGGAGUUGACCCCCGCC